UACGUAGGGUCCGAGCGUUGUCCGGAAUUAUUGGGCGUAAAGGGCUCGUAGGCGGUUCGUCACGUCGGGAGUGAAAACUCGGAGCUUAACUCCGAGCCUGCUUCCGAUACGGGGCAGACGUAGAGGUAGGCAGGGGAGAGCGGAACUCCUGGUGUAGCGGUGGAAUGCGCAGAUAUCAGGAAGAACACCCGUGGCGAAGGCGGCUCUCUGGGACGGUACUGGACGCUGAGACGGCGAAAGCGUGGGGAGCGAACAGG
rnacentral:rRNA from 1 species